AUCCUGAGGAUAUAACGAGCAAUUUGGAAAAAUAAAUUUGUCGCUUUUUUUUACGGUUGCGGAGGAGAUCUGAUAACAAGAAAAACAGUGUUUGGGGAGAUAACUCUUACAAAGAAAAGUGUUUGGUUAAACAGGGUGAGUUUCAAAAGCGUAUAGACUGUAUGAUAUCAUAUACAAAAAAACUAAGCGACAUCUUUUGAAACAUUUUUACACCGCAAGAAAAAAAUUAGGCGAAG
rnacentral:lncRNA from 1 species